CUCAGGGAAGAAGCUCUGACGGUACCUGAGGAAUCAGCCUCGGCUAAACUCCGUUGCCAGCAGCCGCGGUAAAUACGGAGGAGGCAAGCCGUUAUCCGGAAUUAUUGGGCGUAAAGCGUCCGCAGGGUGGCGAUUCAAGUCUGCUGUUCAAAGCACGGGGCUUUAACUCCGUUAAGGCAGUGUGAAACUUGAAUAGCUAAGAGUGCCGUAGGGGUAAGAGGGAAUUCCCGGUGUAGCGGUGAAAUUGCGUAGAGAUCGGGAAGAACCAUCGGUGGCGAAAGCGCUCUACUGGACGGCAACUGACACUCAGGGACGAAAAGCUAGGGGAGCGAAAUGGGAUUAGAUACCCCAGUAGUCCUAGCUUGUUAACGAUGGAUACUAGGGUGUAGCUUGUAUACGAACCCGGAGCUGUGCCGAAAGCUAACGCGUUAAGGUAUCCCCGCCUGGGGAGUACGCACGCAAGUGUGAAACUCAAAGGAAUUUGACGGGGGGCCCGCACAAGCGGUGGAGUAUGUGGUUUAAUUCGAUGCAACGCGAAGAACCUUACCAGGGCUUGACAUGUCCGGAAUCCCGGUGAAAGCUGGGAGUGCCUUCGGGAGCCGGAACACAGGUGGUGCAUGGCUGUCGUCAGCUCAUGUCGUGAGAUGUUGGGUUAAGU
rnacentral:rRNA from 1 species